UACGGAGGGAGCUAGCGUUGUUCGGAAUUACUGGGCGUAAAGCGCACGUAGGCGGCUUUGUAAGUCAGGGGUGAAAUCCCGGGGCUCAACCUCGGAACUGCCUUUGAUACUGGUCAUCUUGAGUCCGGGAGAGGUGAGUGGAACUCCUAGUGUAGAGGUGAAAUUCGUAGAUAUUACGGAAGAACACCAGUGGCGAAGGCGGACU
rnacentral:rRNA from 1 species